UACGAGCUGUGCAAACGUUACUCGGAAUCAUUGGGCUUAAAGGGUGCGUAGGUGGGCUAGUAAGUCCGUGGUGAAAUCUCCAAGCUUAACUUGGAAACUGCCGUGGAUACUAUUAGUCUUGAAUAUUGUGGAGGUAAGCGGAAUAUGUCAUGUAGCGGUGAAAUGCUUAGAUAUGACAUAGAACACCGAUAGCGAAGGCAGCUUGCUACACAAUCAUUGACACUGAGGCACGAAAGCGUGGGGAUCAAACAGG
rnacentral:rRNA from 1 species